rnacentral:tRNA from 1 species
GGAGUUGUAGCUCAGUGGUAGAGUGCUCACCUAGCAUGUGCGAGGCCCUGGGUUCGAUCCUUAGCACCA